GGCUCAGUGGUCUAGGGGUAUGAUUUUCGUACGAGAGGUCCCGGGUUCAAAUCCCGGCUGAGCCC